AACGCUGUCACUUAGGGAAAAAAAAAAAAAGGUACUAACUUUCUCACUGAUUCCUUCUCUUUCUCUCCCAAAUUUUCCCCAGAAAAUUCCCGUCUUUACUUAAGCUCCUAUAAGUCCCCACUUCGAAAAACAGUGAAAGCAGUCUUUUUCCCCCAAUCUCUUUCUAGCUCAAGGUAAGGCUCUUCCUAGUCUCUUCUUUCGGGUGUUUCUUUGAUUUAGGUUAUUUUCAUUUUGGGUCCUUUUUUAGAUGCCAUACAAUUGUAUAUUUGAUGAAUUUGAGGUUACCUUUAUAGAGAAAGUUGCUUUUUUUUAAUUGUUUUAUUUGUAUAAAUUGUACCAAAUGAUGAUACCAAAAAGAAAGAAAUGGACCGAAGCUGAAGAGAAAACCCUAAUUGAUAAAUAUGGUGAAAUGGUUGCUGAUGGAACUCUUGCGAAAAUGAAGACCCGAGAAAAGAAAUAUAAACCUAUUGCUUGUUAUGUGAAUUCUGUGCAUCAUGUACGUGACUCUAUUGCAUAUCCAUGGCAAUGGUCAUGGAAGGAUGUCUCCACUAAGGUGCAAAAUAUGAGGCAUCAAUAUUUGCUUGUUAAGCAAAAGAUUAAGAGACCCGAUGCAGUGGUCAAUAAUCCGGUGGGUGGAGAGUGUAACGGCGAUGAUGACUUCGAUUGGUUAGAAGGGCUUACACAUUGGUCGAAUUUUUUGCGGUACAAGGAAGUAUUUGGGGACGUGGCGGUUUCGUAUAAUAGUACUAAUAACAAUAAUAGUAAUAAUAGUAGUGAUACGAUGGCAGUUGUGAAUGAGGAAAGAGAAAACAGAGGGGGAUUUAUUGGAGGCAGUGGGAUGGAGAUUGUGGAGUUCGGGAAAAUGGGUCAAUCCGGAGAUGGGGAUUUUGUGGGGAUUGACGGGGGAGAGAAUGGGGUGUUAGGUUUGGGAUUUGAGUAUGACGGUGAAGAAGGAGAGGGGAAUUAUAAUGGUAACGAUCAAGUGAGGGAGGAGGGAGAUGAUGCUUUGUUGUAUGAGGAAGUGGAACCGAAUGGGUCAAAUUUGAAAAAGAAAAGGAAAGUUUUGAAGGGAUUGGAGAAGAAGGCAUUCGGGUUUCUAGUGAACCAGUUGGGGCAGUUAAGGGUAUUGGAGGCUCGGUUUGAGCAACGUGAUGCAGAGAGAGAGCGGGAGAGGAAAAGAAAAGAGAGUGUUCGAUUGGAGCUUGAGAAAGAAUGGGAAAGAAAGUUGGAAGAAAGAGAAAAGGGGAGGGAAGAAAGAGAGAAGGCUAGGGAGAAGCUGAGAAUGCAGAGAAUUCAUGAGUGGGAAGCUAUGGAAAAGCAAAGUGAAGAGAAAGAAAGAAAAAGAAAAGAAGUGGAUUCGAUACAAGAGAGCGAAUGGGAGGAGAGGAUGAAUAGAAAGAAAUCGGAAUGGAAGACGAGGAUGGAUGAAAUGUUAAAUCAGCACAGAGCAGAAAUGAACCAGAUGCAGACUCGUUUUCUUCACGAGCAACAAAAUCUUACUAGCCAGUUGCUUGGGAUUGUUUCUCAAUGGACCGGUCAUCCAGCAGGGCUUUCGGACCAUACUGCUGCCAGCAACCAUUAUCUUUCACAGAUGAUGCAAAAUUUGCACCAUGUGAACGGUAUGGUGCAUGGAGAUGACAGGGUUGAUGGAGAUAAUCAAGAUGACCAAUUCAUUGUUGAUGGAUAAUAUCGUAUCUGAAAGAAAUUUUCUGCAAUGAGAAGUGUAAAGGGAGAAAAGAGAGAUUUAAUUCAGUCUUCUCUGGAGGAAAUUUGGAAUUCACACUCUAUUUUAUGUCAGUUUGUACAAAAUUAUGCUGGAACAUGCAGAAAGUGGCUUAUUUACAUUAAGAGCACGAGGUGGUUUCUCCUUGUUUGAAUAUCAGUUGUUUUCUUCCUGACUUAUCAUUUGCCACUUCAAUGCUCUCAAACGAGGGCAGUAAAUUAUGCUGUUAAGAAAUUGCACAUAAUUGUUCCUUGGGAUGGUUUGUAGCAGUAAGCAGAGCCAUAUUAUCCCAUCGCUUGAUUGUUUAUGUCUGAAAACUCAAGACAGCUAUAGUUGUUACAUCGGUAUCAUCUGAUGUUUCCCUUUGGUCCUUUUACCCACAAGUGCUGAUCGAAGUGCCUAGUUUUUGCACAAUAUUAUGUUUGUUUUGAACUUAGUUCAUGCAACCAUUUGAGCUGAUACUUUGUAGAAUCUGCAGAAGAACCGCUCUAUUCACUGCUACAAUGAAUUGUAUUUAGUAAAUGCUACAACUUUAUAAACCUCAUGUUUGAGAGGAGAUUGCUUUGCAAGAAAUUUAGAUCUCUUCCACCCCUCUGGUAUUCAGUUACUUGCAAGCAUGGUUAAAUCAUAUUUACGUCA